rnacentral:rRNA from 1 species
GAUGAACGCUGGCGGCGUGCCUAAUACAUGCAAGUCGAGCGAACAGACGAGGAGCUUGCUCCUCUGACGUUAGCGGCGGACGGGUGAGUAACACGUGGAUAACCUACCUAUAAGACUGGGAUAACUUCGGGAAACCGGAGCUAAUACCGGAUAAUAUAUUGAACCGCAUGGUUCAAUAGUGAAAGACGGUUUUGCUGUCACUUAUAGAUGGAUCCGCGCCGCAUUAGCUAGUUGGUAAGGUAACGGCUUACCAAGGCAACGAUGCGUAGCCGACCUGAGAGGGUGAUCGGCCACACUGGAACUGAGACACGGUCCAGACUCCUACGGGAGGCAGCAGUAGGGAAUCUUCCGCAAUGGGCGAAAGCCUGACGGAGCAACGCCGCGUGAGUGAUGAAGGUCUUCGGAUCGUAAAACUCUGUUAUUAGGGAAGAACAAAUGUGUAAGUAACUAUGCACGUCUUGACGGUACCUAAUCAGAAAGCCACGGCUGACUACGU